rnacentral:rRNA from 1 species
AUACGGAGGACGCGAGCGUUAUCCGGAUUCAUUGGGUUUAAAGGGUGCGCAGGCGGCCGUGCAAGUCAGCGGUGAAAGCCCGGGGCUCAACCCCGGAAGUGCCGUUGAUACUGCGUGGCUGGAAUGCGGUCGAGGCGGGCGGAACGUGGCGUGUAGCGGUGAAAGGCGUAGAUAUGCCACAGAACGCCGAUAGCGGAGGCAGCUCGCCAGGCCUGCAUUGACGCUCGGGCACGAAAGCGUGGGGAUCGAACAGGAUUAGAUACCCUGGUAGUCCACGCCGUAAACGAUGGGCGCUCGUCGUCGGCGGCAGACAGUCGGCGGCCAAGCGAAAGCGAUAAGCGCCCCACCUGGGGAGUACGGUCGCAAGAAUGAAACUCAAAUGAAUUGACGGGG